rnacentral:rRNA from 1 species
CGACAAGCGGUGGAGCAUGUGGUUAAUUCGAUGAUACGCGAGGAACCUUACCUGGGCUCAAAUGUAUGUUGACGUAUUCUGAAAGGGAUACUUCUUCGGACAAUAUACAAGGUGCUGCAUGGUUGUCGUCAGCUCGUGCCGUGAGGUGUCGGGUUAAGUCCCAUAACGAGCGCAACCCUACCUUUAGUUGCCAUCAGGUAAUGCUGGGGACUCUAAAGGAACUGCCUACGCAAGUAGUGAGGAAGGCGGGGAUGACGUCAAAUCAGCACGGCCCUUACGUCCAGGGCUACACACGUGCUACAAUGGCCGAUACAGAGGGCAGCUACCUGGUGACAGGAUGCAAAUCUCCAAAGUCGGUCUCAGUUCGGAUCGGAGUCUGCAACCCGACUCCGUGAAGUUGGAUUCGCUAGUAAUCGCGCAUCAGCCAUGGCGCGGUGAAUACGUUCCCGGGCCUU